CGUAAAUAAAUGAGUUAUGGUCCCAACCGAGUUGUUAGUUUCAGAGAGUAUUGAAUGCGUGUUACAUAGAAUUGUACAUUUCAUUCAUCUGUUUCCAUUUAAAUGAUUAGAAACUAGGUGUAAAUAUAUUUGUUUUAUUAUACUAGUAGUUGUUACUAAUAUCUGAGCAUUAUGUAAUCGACAUGGAUUGUAAUCAUUUGGUUGUUGAUGUAGUUUGGUUUGUUUUCUUAGAGAUCCAUAGGUUUUUGAGGUCCAAAUCAAAAGUUUUGGAAACUUAUGGGGUAUGAAAAGGGAAGAGGAGAGAAUUAAAGACAGAGACAGAUGAGUGAGUGUACAAAAGUAAACGUCUUUCUGUCAUUUGUUUGUUUCUGUUUUACUCAGUUUUGUUUAAUCAUUUUGUUUCUUUCCUUUUCAUUUUUUCCCCCUGAUAAUAAUGUUCUACUUUCUGAGAGCUCCUUUGCUACUGAAGGAAGAAUCAUGAGGUAGAAGACACACACACUGUUCUCAAGAUGAGACAUUAUUAAUAGCACUGUGAAUUGUUAAAUCCAUUGUACAAUUCUCAGUUAGAACUUUGUAAAAAUUGUAUCAUUAAAUGUCUCACUUCAAUUUCCAAUCAUGCUUUCUGUCGGAAAAUCUAAUUCUUUUUAAGUUCUUAACGCCAUAUUUAUGUAUUGCUUUCUGACCGUUGUUCUUCCAAAUUUUUUAUACGAAAACACUCUUAUGUAACCUUUCCUAACUUCCUAUGAGCUUCGUUUUGCAGAAUUGAAUGCAUAAACAGAAAAGCCACAUGAGUUGGAUUGAAAAAAAAAAAUUAGAUAAACUAAGAAGAUAUACAUACAAAAUCAGAACUUGGUUGAUAAUCUAUACAAGAAAAAA